UUUCACAAAAUUUAGCGCCAUAACUGCCCGCUAAAAUUCCCAUGGAAGUUGACCUCUGAUUCUUCAUCACGAUCCUUUGAUUUUAAUCCCCAAUCACAGCUGCAGUUCGCUUCAUCGCUUCUAGAGAGCUCGUUUUGUUACAGCUGAUUAUCUGAUUCUGAUUAUUCAAAACACAUAAUCUAUUUUAAAAAAGCAAUCCCAAACACCCCCUAAGACCAUGGGUAUGGUGGGCAUGAGUUUGGGGGCAUGAGUUGACACGUGGAAAACAAACCUAAACCCACGCCCAUGGGGUAUGAUGGGGCUUGGGUUGGGGGCAUGAGUUGACACAUGGGGGCAUGUGAAAUAGCUAGUUUGUUUGGCCAUUGAGAGCCCGCCAUGUCACCUUCCUAGCCCGCCCCACGCCCGGCUUCAAACCCAAGCUCCAAGAGCCACGCCCAAACCCACGUCCUAAUCCAAGCCCCUGGGGUGGUGGCUUGGACGUUUUCAGCCAACCCACCCUCAACCCAAGCCCCAUACCCAUAGCAUAUAAGAAGUUUAAAAUAAACAUUAAAUUCAACGAUAGGUUGAAAUUCAAUAUAUUUAUUUCAAUAUAUAUUUUUUGUUAUUUCUUAACCCUUACCCUAACAUCGUUGCCCUGGUUAUUCAUUCCAUCAGCGACAUCAGCAGCUUCAAGUGACAUCCACGGUUCCAGCGACAUCAGCUUCCACGGCGGCGCUGCUUCUUUCUCCGGCGCCCCUUCUUCUUUCUCCGGCGGCGCUACUUUUUCCAGACUCCAACAGAUCAGGUCGCAUUUACAAUCAAAAGUUAGCUACUACUAAUACAUUGCCGCUACAUUCAACAUCAUGGUACAUGCAGCCAAAGGGAUCUUUAUUUCAUGCGACAUACCGAUGGCUCAAUUUAUAAUCAAUUACAACGCGUCAUUACCGCAAUCACAGAAGUUUAUUAUACACAUCUUGGAUGGUACUCAUCUUUUUGUUAGCAGCAAUGUGGAAGGAAUGAUAAGAAGUGCCAUUCAAGAGUUCAGAGAGAAGAACACCUAUGAGAAACCUGCCUGAUUCUUGUUUUUAUAGUCAACUUAAGUCAAACUUUGUCAUCUAAAAGUCCAUUUUGAUUAUCCUAUGUGUUUUGUGCUUCUACAUAUGGUUACUGGUUAUGACUUUUUUAAUUAGCAACAAUCAUUUUCUGCUCUA